AUGAGUGCAAAGUUCAAAAUCUAAAAAAGCGCAAAGUGACUAUCCACGUUUCGGUGAACGGAGUUCGAGUGGUGCUCAAGAAACGCCGGAGAAAAAAAAGGAACUGGACAAAUGACGCAGAAGAAAUCGAACUACUCAAUCAUCCCAUCUACAGAAUUUUCUACGUAUCGCACGAUAGUAGCGAUCUCAAGAUAUUUAGCUAUAUUGCACGAGAUGCCAGCACAGAUACAUUCAAAUGCUCCGUCUUUAAAAGUCAUAAAAAAAAACUCAACUCUUUGAGGACUUUUUAUUUUCCUCCUAUUCUAAACGAACUUCGAAAAAGGGAAAAUGUAUUCUGAGAAAACAGUAGACAUCACGAAUGAUGAAAACAAUUUGGAAAUUGGCUAUGUUAUUUUGGAAAAAGUUUCGCCAAACAUUUGACAGUGAGU